rnacentral:rRNA from 1 species
GAUGAACGCUGGCGGCGUGCCUAAUACAUGCAAGUCGAGCGAACGGACGAGAAGCUUGCUUCUCUGAUGUUAGCGGCGGACGGGCGAGUAACACGUGGAUAACCUACCUAUAAGACUGGGAUAACUUCGGGAAACCGGAGCUAAUACCGGAUGAUAUUUUGAACCGCAUGGUUCAAAAGUGAAAGACGGUCUUGCUGUCACUUAUAGAUGGAUCCGCGCUGCAUUAGCUAGUUGGUAAGGUAACGGCUUACCAAGGCAACGAUGCAUAGCCGACCUGAGAGGGUGAUCGGCCACACUGGAACUGAGACACGGUCCAGACUCCUACGGGAGGCAGCAGUAGGGAAUCUUCCGCAAUGGGCGAAAGCCUGACGGAGCAACGCCGCGUGAGUGAUGAAGGUCUUCGGAUCGUAAAACUCUGUUAUUAGGGAAGAACAGAUGUGUAAGUAACUGUGCACGUCUUGACGGUACCUAAACAGAAAGCCACGGCUAACUACGUG